rnacentral:rRNA from 1 species
GGAAAAGCAAUGACGGUACCUGAGGAAUCAGCAUCGGCUAACUCCGUGCCAGCAGCCGCGGUAAUACGGAGGAUGCAAGCGUUAUCCGGAAUAAUUGGGCGUAAAGCGUCCGCAGGUGGGAGUUCAAGUCGAUUGUCAAAGGCAGUAGCUUAACUACUGACAGGCAGUGGAAACUGAAAGACUAGAGUGAGGUAGGGGUAGAGGGAAUUCCCGGUGUAGCGGUGAAAUGCGUAGAGCUCGGGAAGAACACCAGUGGCGAAAGCGCUCUGCUGGACCUUAACUGACACUGAGGGACGAAAGCUAGGGGAGCGAAUGGGAUUAGAUACCCCAGUAGUC